rnacentral:rRNA from 1 species
UGGUCCCUAUCUGCCGUGGGUGUUCGAAGCUUGAGAGGAUCUGUCCCUAGUACGAGAGGACCGGGAUGGACAUACCUCUGGUGUACCUGUCAUGGUGCCAGCUGUGCAGCAGGGUAGCUAAGUAUGGAAUAGAUAACCGCUGAAAGCAUCUAAGCGGGAAACUAACCUCAAAACAAGGCUUCGCUGAGGAUCGUGGAAGACUACCACGUUGAUAGGCCAGGUGUGGAAGUGGGGCGACCCAUGAAGCUUACUGGUACUAAUAAUCCGAUCGGUUUGAUCGU